GGGUUGUGAGGUUAAGCGACUAAGCGUACACGGUGGAUGCCCUGGCAGUCAGAGGCGAUGAAGGACGUGCUAAUCUGCGAUAAGCGUCGGUAAGGUGAUAUGAACCGUUAUAACCGGCGAUUUCCGAAUGGGGAAACCCAGUGUGAUUCGUCACACUAUCAUUAACUGAAUCCAUAGGUUAAUGAGGCGAACCGGGGGAACUGAAACAUCUAAGUACCCCGAGGAAAAGAAAUCAACCGAGAUUCCCCCAGUAGCGGCGAGCGAACGGGGAGCAGCCCAGAGCCUGAAUCAGUGUGUGUGUUAGUGGAAGCGUCUGGAAAGGCGCGCGAUACAGGGUGACAGCCCCGUACACAAAAAUGCACAUGCUGUGAGCUCGAUGAGUAGGGCGGGACACGUGGUAUCCUGUCUGAAUAUGGGGGGACCAUCCUCCAAGGCUAAAUACUCCUGACUGACCGAUAGUGAACCAGUACCGUGAGGGAAAGGCGAAAAGAACCCCGGCGAGGGGAGUGAAAAAGAACCUGAAACCGUGUACGUACAAGCAGUGGGAGCACGCUUAGGCGUGUGACUGCGUACCUUUUGUAUAAUGGGUCAGCGACUUAUAUUCUGUAGCAAGGUUAACCGAAUAGGGGAGCCGAAGGGAAACCGAGUCUUAACUGGGCGUUAAGUUGCAGGGUAUAGACCCGAAACCCGGUGAUCUAGCCAUGGGCAGGUUGAAGGUUGGGUAACACUAACUGGAGGACCGAACCGACUAAUGUUGAAAAAUUAGCGGAUGACUUGUGGCUGGGGGUGAAAGGCCAAUCAAACCGGGAGAUAGCUGGUUCUCCCCGAAAGCUAUUUAGGUAGCGCCUCGUGAAUUCAUCUCCGGGGGUAGAGCACUGUUUCGGCAAGGGGGUCAUCCCGACUUACCAACCCGAUGCAAACUGCGAAUACCGGAGAAUGUUAUCACGGGAGACACACGGCGGGUGCUAACGUCCGUCGUGAAGAGGGAAACAACCCAGACCGCCAGCUAAGGUCCCAAAGUCAUGGUUAAGUGGGAAACGAUGUGGGAAGGCCCAGACAGCCAGGAUGUUGGCUUAGAAGCAGCCAUCAUUUAAAGAAAGCGUAAUAGCUCACUGGUCGAGUCGGCCUGCGCGGAAGAUGUAACGGGGCUAAACCAUGCACCGAAGCUGCGGCAGCGACGCUUAUGCGUUGUUGGGUAGGGGAGCGUUCUGUAAGCCUGCGAAGGUGUGCUGUGAGGCAUGCUGGAGGUAUCAGAAGUGCGAAUGCUGACAUAAGUAACGAUAAAGCGGGUGAAAAGCCCGCUCGCCGGAAGACCAAGGGUUCCUGUCCAACGUUAAUCGGGGCAGGGUGAGUCGACCCCUAAGGCGAGGCCGAAAGGCGUAGUCGAUGGGAAACAGGUUAAUAUUCCUGUACUUGGUGUUACUGCGAAGGGGGGACGGAGAAGGCUAUGUUGGCCGGGCGACGGUUGUCCCGGUUUAAGCGUGUAGGCUGGUUUUCCAGGCAAAUCCGGAAAAUCAAGGCUGAGGCGUGAUGACGAGGCACUACGGUGCUGAAGCAACAAAUGCCCUGCUUCCAGGAAAAGCCUCUAAGCAUCAGGUAACAUCAAAUCGUACCCCAAACCGACACAGGUGGUCAGGUAGAGAAUACCAAGGCGCUUGAGAGAACUCGGGUGAAGGAACUAGGCAAAAUGGUGCCGUAACUUCGGGAGAAGGCACGCUGAUAUGUAGGUGAAGUCCCUCGCGGAUGGAGCUGAAAUCAGUCGAAGAUACCAGCUGGCUGCAACUGUUUAUUAAAAACACAGCACUGUGCAAACACGAAAGUGGACGUAUACGGUGUGACGCCUGCCCGGUGCCGGAAGGUUAAUUGAUGGGGUUAGCGCAAGCGAAGCUCUUGAUCGAAGCCCCGGUAAACGGCGGCCGUAACUAUAACGGUCCUAAGGUAGCGAAAUUCCUUGUCGGGUAAGUUCCGACCUGCACGAAUGGCGUAAUGAUGGCCAGGCUGUCUCCACCCGAGACUCAGUGAAAUUGAACUCGCUGUGAAGAUGCAGUGUACCCGCGGCAAGACGGAAAGACCCCGUGAACCUUUACUAUAGCUUGACACUGAACAUUGAGCCUUGAUGUGUAGGAUAGGUGGGAGGCUUUGAAGUGUGGACGCCAGUCUGCAUGGAGCCGACCUUGAAAUACCACCCUUUAAUGUUUGAUGUUCUAACGUGGACCCGUGAUCCGGGUUGCGGACAGUGUCUGGUGGGUAGUUUGACUGGGGCGGUCUCCUCCUAAAGAGUAACGGAGGAGCACGAAGGUUGGCUAAUCCUGGUCGGACAUCAGGAGGUUAGUGCAAUGGCAUAAGCCAGCUUGACUGCGAGCGUGACGGCGCGAGCAGGUGCGAAAGCAGGUCAUAGUGAUCCGGUGGUUCUGAAUGGAAGGGCCAUCGCUCAACGGAUAAAAGGUACUCCGGGGAUAACAGGCUGAUACCGCCCAAGAGUUCAUAUCGACGGCGGUGUUUGGCACCUCGAUGUCGGCUCAUCACAUCCUGGGGCUGAAGUAGGUCCCAAGGGUAUGGCUGUUCGCCAUUUAAAGUGGUACGCGAGCUGGGUUUAGAACGUCGUGAGACAGUUCGGUCCCUAUCUGCCGUGGGCGCUGGAGAACUGAGGGGGGCUGCUCCUAGUACGAGAGGACCGGAGUGGACGCAUCACUGGUGUUCGGGUUGUCAUGCCAAUGGCACUGCCCGGUAGCUAAAUGCGGAAGAGAUAAGUGCUGAAAGCAUCUAAGCACGAAACUUGCCCCGAGAUGAGUUCUCCCUGAC
rnacentral:rRNA from 1 species